GGGAAUCAGAAAAGCUUGCUCUCGGGUGACGAGCGGCGGACGGGUGAGUAAUGUCUGGGAAACUGCCUGAUGGAGGGGGAUAACUACUGGAAACGGUAGCUAAUACCGCAUAAUGUCGCAAGACCAAAGUGGGGGACCUUCGGGCCUCAUGCCAUCAGAUGUGCCCAGAUGGGAUUAGCUAGUAGGUGGGGUAACGGCUCACCUAGGCGACGAUCCCUAGCUGGUCUGAGAGGAUGACCAGCCACACUGGAACUGAGACACGGUCCAGACUCCUACGGGAGGCAGCAGUGGGGAAUAUUGCACAAUGGGCGCAAGCCUGAUGCAGCCAUGCCGCGUGUAUGAAGAAGGCCUUCGGGUUGUAAAGUACUUUCAGCGGGGAGGAAGGCGAUAAGGUUAAUAACCUUGUCGAUUGACGUUACCCGCAGAAGAAGCACCGGCUAACUCCGUGCCAGCAGCCGCGGUAAUACGGAGGGUGCAAGCGUUAAUCGGAAUUACUGGGCGUAAAGCGCACGCAGGCGGUCUGUCAAGUCGGAUGUGAAAUCCCCGGGCUCAACCUGGGAACUGCAUUCGAAACUGGCAGGCUAGAGUCUUGUAGAGGGGGGUAGAAUUCCAGGUGUAGCGGUGAAAUGCGUAGAGAUCUGGAGGAAUACCGGUGGCGAAAGGCGGCCCCCCUGGACAAAGACUGACGCUCAGUGCGAAAGCGUGGGGAGCAAACAGGGAUUAGAUACCCUGGUAGUCCACGCCGUAAACGAUGUCAAUUUUGGGAAGGUUGUGCCCUUGAGGCGUGGCUUUCCCGGAGCUAACGCGUUAAUCGACCGCCUGGGGAGUACGCCGCAAGGUUAAACUCAAAUGAAUUGACGGGGGCCGGCACAC
rnacentral:rRNA from 1 species